rnacentral:rRNA from 1 species
UACGAAGGGGGCUAGCGUUGCUCGGAAUCACUGGGCGUAAAGCGCACGUAGGCGGAUUGCUAAGUCAGGGGUGAAAUCCCGCGGCCCAACCGUGGAACUGCCUUUGAUACUGGCGGACUUGAGUGCGUGAGGGGUAGGGGGAACGAGCAGUGUAGCGGUGAAAUGCGUAGAUAUUGCACGGAAGGCCAGAGCCGAAGGGGCCCUACUGGUACGUAACUGACACUGAGGCACGAAAGCGUGGGGAGCAAACAGG